GCGGCGAGAGCGGGUCGCCGC
rnacentral:snRNA from 1 species